GUAGUUAGCCGGUGCUUCUUCUGUGAGUGAUGUCCUUCCUGCCGGCUAUUAACCCGCAGGCCUUCUUCCUCACUGAAAGUGCUUUACAACCCGAAGGCCUUCUUCACACACGCGGCAUGGCUGGAUCAGGGUUGCCCCCAUUGUCCAAUAUUCCCCACUGCUGCCUCCCGUAGGAGUCUGGGCCGUGUCUCAGUCCCAGUGUGGCUGAUCAUCCUCUCAGACCAGCUACGGAUCGUCGCCUUGGUGAGCCGUUACCUCACCAACCAGCUAAUCCGACAUAGGCUCAUCCGAUAGCGCGAGGCCCGAAGGUCCCCCGCUUUCCCCCGUAGGGCGUAUGCGGUAUUAGCCUGGGUUUCCCCAGGUUAUCCCCCACUACCGGGCAGAUUCCUAUGCAUUACUCACCCGUCCGCCGCUCGCCACCAGGGAGCAAGCUCCCCGUGCUGCCGCUCGACUUGCAUGUGUUAGGCCUGCCGCCAGCGUUCAAUCUGAGCCAGAAUCAAACUCUGA
rnacentral:rRNA from 1 species